AGGAGGAGGACCCCUGAGGAAGAGGAGGACAGGUGGGAGGAGGGCGGUGAGGAAGGACAGCCAGGGAGGAAGCGCCUGCUCAACUGUCCCUUUCCUCCUCAGCCGCCCUCCUCCUGCGCUGUCCUCCUCCACCUCCACCGCCGGCCUCCUUGGCUGGGCUUCUCCUCCUCAGCUACCUUCCUUCUACUCCUCGGUUGUUCUCCUCAGCCACCCUCAGUUCUGAGAGACGUUGUGUCCUUGUUCAGGAGGGGGCUGCCUUGGUUCCUGUCCUGGGUCUUGCAGGAGGAAGAGGCAGAGGAAGUGAACAUCAGGCUGCUAAACCCUACGCUGCAGACUCCCUGAGGGGUGCCCAUGUGCACAGCUGAGAAAGAAUCUUUCCCGCAGUUUAAAGAUAAUAAGCGAAACCCAAAUCUUUUGACUUUCCUCAUCUCCUUUCUACCUACCCUUAUUUCUUGUGUCCUACCUCAGUUUCACUGCCCUACAAAUUCCCUGGCUCCUAUUAAGCCCUCUUCCCCGCAACCCCUGGCAUCCACCAGUGCUUCCACUCUCUCCAGAAAACCCAGAGGUGGCAUGGUUGGGUACGUGGCAUUUUCACCCUGGCUCUUUCACUAAAUCAUGUGCAUUCUAAGCUCCUCCGUGUCUUUUCAGGACUUAGUGACUCAUUUGCUUUAGUGCUGAAUGACAUUCCCUUGUCUGGACCAGCUACAGUUUAUCCACUGGCCCAUUGAGGGACAUCCUGGAGGGAUUGCAGAGGUGAAUGCCAUCCUCAAGGACCUGAAGAAGGCAGAAACUGUGAGGCCUACCACUAGGGAACCCUUUGCAUGGUGCCAGUUAUUGGGGACACCUGCAUUGACCUCCCAAUCGCCUUUCCAGGUCAUGGCCAUGACGGGAAAGAUAAGAAACAGCAAGAGACAAAAACAGUGGGUGCAUAGCAGGGAUCUGGGAUGACCAGUUGCUCUCAGGGAACAAAAGACCAGGAGCCACCCAGAACCUUGGUAUUUAUUCAUUACACCUGAGUCAGGGGCAGUGGGUGAAGGGCAGUGGGUGUUUCCAGGAACAGUAAUGGUGACUACAGCGGGCUGGGAAAAAGAAGAAAGCAUUUUUGCAAGGACAAGGACAAGCAGGACGGGGCCAGUGAGGAAACUAGUUUCUCCAAAUGCCUAUAUGUCUCCAGCAGGUCUUAUCUUGCCCUAGGGCUUCCAGCGGUUACCAGGAAAGAGCAGGGAUUUUCCAAGUUCCAGUCUGCCUCAAGGACAGGUCAAGAACAAGUGUGGAUGUCCCCUACCCUCAAUUUAUAAUUCUUGUUCCCAGCACACUACACUACUGCUCCAGUAGCCAAGACAGGUCUUCAAGAAUGACGCGUGCAAGCUAACCAGGCAGUCACCCCAACCGCAGCUGCUCUUCCAGACGCAGUCCACAGGCAGUCAGCACACCCCGCAGAACCUGGCAUGCAGCUGCUGAUGUGGCAAAUGCCUUUUCCUCAAACCCUGCUAGUAAAGAUCAGUCAGCAGAAGCAGCUGCUGAACAAAAAGCCACCAAAGAGGCACCUGAAAUAACAGGUAUUUUUUACAAUAACAGGUAUUUUUUUACGGGGCGUCUGUGUUGCUGGAGAGUCAGUCUCUGGUGAGUACUCUGUCCUUGUCUUUUGCCAUGCAUGUGUGAGAAGCCUCUGGUGUCUGUCUCCUAUAAAGGGACCAAUUCUGUUGGGUUAGCAUGGGGAGCAGCUGAAGCAGGAGACGGAUCACGUGUGGGGCGAAGCAAGGGAGCCUCCAGAACACAGAGCUCCUGAGGCAGGUCACAUGAAUAAAAUGUUCCAGCCUCAAGAACAUCUGUGUAGGUGCCUAAGGCAAGCUACAUGAAUAAGCCAUUGGGUGGAGGAGUUUCAUGUGAUAGUCAGCCUCCCAAGUAUAUAAAUAAACACUCUACAGCCUUGGAGCUCUCACUCCUCCUCCUCCCUUCCUUCUCUCAUCAGGAGAGAGGGUUCCAUAUGGCUCAGUUUUCUGUA